rnacentral:rRNA from 1 species
UGGGGAAUAUUGGACAAUGGGGGCAACCAUGAUCCAGCCAUGCCGCGUGUGUGAAGAAGGCCUUUUGGUUGUAAAGCACUUUAAGCAGUGAAGAAGACUCCAUGGUUAAUACCCAUGGACGAUGACAUUAGCUGCAGAAUAAGCACCGGCUAACUCUAUGCCAGCAGCCGCGGUAAUACAGAGGGUGCAAGCGUUAAUCGGAAUUACUGGGCGUAAAGCGAGCGUAGGUGGCUUGAUAAGUCAGAUGUGAAAGCCCCGGGCUUAACCUGGGAACGGCAUCUGAUACUGUUAGGCUAGAGUAGGUGAGAGGAAGGUAGAAUUCCAGGUGUAGCGGUGAAAUGCGUAGAGAUCUGGAGGAAUACCGAUGGCGAAGGCAGCCUUCUGGCAUCAUACUGACACUGAGGUUCGAAAGCGUGGGUAGCAAACA